rnacentral:misc_RNA from 1 species
CAUAGGGAAAGAAAUCUCAGACUCAGUCGGUAACUUAAAGUUGGAGAGCUCGCUUACCUGCUGGGUUCUGCUUGCUAAUCUACUGUGCUCAUAAAUAAUAUCCUGCAAUCGUGGACACGUUAACCGCCACGAAGGAGUUGCAUACCUUUGACUUUUAUCAGGCAGGCUUGAUUGAAAUUCGAAAAUUCAGUUGGUGGCUGUGGCGGUGAUCAGUUCUUCCCAUCGUUCUCUCGUCCCGCGUGACAUCAUUUUUUAGGUACAAAACAAAACACCCCCUGAAGGCCGGAAGUCAACCAGAGAGCAUCGUGCUUUUCUCUCUUUUUUCACGGUGAUCAGCAUAGCUGAUUUAUCCACUCUCAGCAACCUACAGAAUGUGGAGUCCAACACAUGUCCAAGUUACAGUUUGCAGAGUGAAAGGACUGUUGACCAAAGGGAAAAAUGGUACAAAUGAUGCCUUUGUUACAAUUUCUCUUGGAAAAGAGAAAUUUCAGACAUCGGUUAAACAAAAAGCCUUAUCUGAGUUAGAAUGGCAGGAAGAGUGUGAACUGGCCAUUCCUACUCAAGGGAAUACGGCAGAAAUCGUACUCACUGCAUUACAUCAAAAUUUCAUUGGAGUCGACGAGUUUUUGGGCAUGGUAUCACUGCCUCUUUCCAACUUUGAUGUCUAUGAAAGGCCAAGAACAAAGUGGUAUCCAUUAAAAAGUAAGCCGGGCCAAGAGGGGAAAAAUAAAAACCGUGGUGAAAUCGAGGUUCGUGUGGCGUUUACAGUCAAGUCGGGAUCAUUGUUGGAUCUCUCUAAAAAGGAGAAACAUAAAGGAUCAUUUGGCCACCUGUCCCAAGCUGCACAUAAUAUUGGGGGAAGUCUUAUGAGCCUGGGUAAAGAGAAAAAAGGAGGUAUCAAGAAACUAGCUUCGUCCGUCGGAAGCAAAUUGAGAUUGCCAAAAAGUGGAAGGGACGAAAAGGGUGGAGAUGGCCGUCUUUCCCGCCACAGUUCCGGUAGAUAUAGUGGCAAAUAUUCCGGUGGAGAGCCAGACCCUGGUGUUAUAUCUGAAGAUGAUGAUGAAUUCAGAUUUGAUGAGUUAUCACACAAAAGCUCUGGAAGUUCAUUGAACCUGGCCGGUGGCAGUAGUAGCUUAGCUAGUGGGCAAGGAUCGCUAGAAAACCUUGGGGGCGGCGAGUUGCUCCGGCACAAUUCAAUGAAACGUUCCGGCUCGUCAGCUACUUUGCCAAACCGAGCCAUUCAACCCUCGACUUCAAUUUCCAGUUUGGCCGUCUCCGUGACCAGCGGUGCGAGUAAGUCGCCCACCCAACAACAAAGUGAUUGGAACCAGAAAUUUUUCGGAAGCAAGCAGAACAAAGUGUCGGAAGACCCCGUCGUCAAGGAGGAGAAGGCAGGUGCUGCAAUGACAACUGCUGCUAUGGCAACGGCUGCUGCAGCUGUUUUGCAUGCCUCCUCACCGCCGUCAUUAGUGGCCGACGGAGUGCCUUCUAUCAUCAUCCAGGAUUCCUUUGUCGUCGAACAGCCGUCGCUCUCACCGUCCGCCUCGCCUCCGUCCAGCAAACUGAACAGCGGUAACGUUCCUGUUCCCAAAACUCGAAACGCCAAGAAUCAAGAAGUACCGGUGGAAGUGGACCUACCGACGGUCAUCCCCCAGGCUCGCCAACGCAAGGAUUUAGCGACCGUAGAUGAAAUUCCAACCAUGGAGGUCAAUUCCCAACCAGCAGGUGAGGAAGCCAAUGCCGAGUUUGACACUGGCCAAUCACUGUCGGCUCGACCCCGCAUGUCAGCAUCACCACCCCAUCCUUCUUCUUUCCCUGUCGGUGUUGUCAUGAAUGAUGAACAUGUUGCUCGACCACCGCCUGUUCCCAAACCCAGAAGAAGUCCACUCCCACCUACUACUUCGCUUGAGAUGUUGAAUGAACCUUCGCUUCCGUCCUCGGAUGAAUUUCCAAUAAUCCAGCAACAGCCAGUCGUUCAGCCCAGAAAUGUGAUUGACGUGAAGUAUUCUCCGAGUCAGAUUUCGCCCAUUCAACUGAAUCCUUUCGAUUCCGAGUCCGAUGAUGGACAGUAUUCGGAUUCAGACGUUUAUGAUCAGCGUUUUGAAGAUGAUGAUCGCGGUAACAUAUUGGACUUGACUUACAAUCCUGCCCAGCCGUCGAACGUGAUUGUUUUGGACAAUGUUGAAGAAUCGGAUGAAAUGAUGCUGAACGAAGACAGUGUUUGUGAGUUAUUGGAGAAAGUUAUCCAAGAGCACGAUCACCAAUCGGCCGGUCUGCCUGCGGAGGCUCCUCCUCCGAAACCAGUCAGGGCCUCCAAUGCAGUUGAACUCUACAAUGAUGAGACGAGCGAGGAAGAAGAUGAAAUACAAGAAGAGGCUCUUCCUCCGAAUUCAGUCAGGGCCUCUAACGCAGUUGAACUCUACAAUGAUGAAACGAGUGAGGAAGAAGAUCAAAUCCAAGAAGAAUCGAUCGAGGGUGAACCGACUGUCGACUUUUUCAACGAUCAAACCGUCCAGAUCAGUCCAGUUGAGAAAGUUGAAGAAGAAAUGGUGAGAGUUGCGCCGCAUCAGACGUCAGGCCGCGUUGAAGAUACGCCCAUCAAUUCUUCGCCUAAAGAAAUUCGACGCGAUCGUCUUUUUAGUUUGUUCUCUACACCCACUAGCGAAACGGACACUGAACCGAAAUCAGCUGGAGUAGUUGACUUAGAUUGGCUCGACGAUAGUAAGGAAGAUAUCAGUCAGGGAUUCGGGGGCUCCGAACAUUUGUCGGAUGGAAUGACGGCUGCCUCUAAUUCGGACCAUGCCAAGACUAUGGACAGCGCCGUCUAUGUGACCGGAGAAGACAAUCAAGCGCCUGAAGUCAGCCCUUCCAAUUCCAGCACUUUUACUAAUUUUACCGAAGCUUUAAAUCGUCCCUUGUCUGCACUUUUAUUGGCGCACGAGGCGGUCUUUACCCCACCACCCGCCACUUCGCCACUCCUUAAACCUGCCGCAGUUCAGACGCCACUUUCCGUCCAAUCUACAGCGUCCAAUCGCGCCGAAUUAUCUUGGGAUAAUUACGACAUGGCGAUGCUAAAUCAAACUCCUGAUGCUGGGACUGGCGGGGCUGGCGGACGACGAUCCAUCGUUCCAUUCGAGCCUGUCGACGAAGAGGCUAAAGCGCGACGUAAACGGAUUUCGUUGGCUCCUUGUCUGAAAACGAUGGCAUUGGAAUCGCCUUCCUGCGACCAGUCGGCUGGCUCGCCCAUCACAGAAGACGACGAGGACGAUGAUGGUGCAGGAGAACAGGCGGUUUCCGCGAAUUCCAACGAGUCGCACCGCAUGAAAAUGGCAGCUUCGUUUCACCAGCGGGUCGUGGUCGGCGAGGAUAAGCCUGCCAACAACAACACACCCCGCGAUCAUCACCGUACACCGCGUGACUCGUCUACAUCCGAGGAUCGAUUGCGGGUUUACCAGGAAAAAUCCCGAGAGGGUUUGAUUGGUUUGCUGGAAGAUCGUGAUAAUGAAAUUUCGGAUCUAAAAGACUAUAUAGACAGUCUGUUAUUGAAAGUGAUCGACACGUGCCCCACUGUUCUCCAGACGCCCGUCAAAGCCAAAACUUCUCGGAAAUAAUUUAUUUCCCCCGUCCAUUUAGAGAAAAUCACGCAAUCACAUGAGGAAUUGAUGGAUCAUCGCUACAUUACAAAAACGCCAUUUCUCAACUUAAAAAUAGUGCGAUGAUGCUGCUUCUUGUUUGUCGAUUGGAAAAAAAAAAACAAGAACACAUUCCGACGGCGUGCCUUAUGUAACAGAAUGCUUGUUGCCGCCAUUUAUUUUCAAAGUUUCUCGCUUCAUAUACUGUGUUUCGAAUCAUAAUUUUAUCGUAAUGUUCUGUUUCUUUCCAGAUUGCCCUAUUAAUUAAUGAAUAAUACAAACAUACUGUUUUAAAGCCA